GUAGGUUGGCUGGCGGUCCGAUGCAAAUCGGAAAAAGGUAGGAAAGUCCGGGCUCCGCAAAAACGAAGGUGGCGGAUAACGUCCGCCGGGGGCAACCCCAGGGAAAGUGCCACAGAAAAUAUACCGCCUAAGCACCCUAUCCGCCUACGCCAAGGCUCCGGCGCGACAUUAGUCUUAAGACCGCGUCGUAGCGCAGCGAAGACGGGAAGGUGCCGGCAAGGUUGAAAAGGUGCGGUAAGAGCGCACCGCGUUCCUGGCAACAGGAAUGGCAUGGUAAACCCCACCUGGAGCAAGACCAAAUAGGCGUUACACGCCGCGCAAGCGGCAAGUGUGUUUUUGCACCGUAACGCGGGUCGGUCGCUAGAGGUGAUGGGCAACCAUCAUCCCAGAUAAAUGAUCGUCGCCUGGGCAACCAGGUACAAAACCCGGCUUAUAGACGAUCUGGCGCU
rnacentral:RNase_P_RNA from 1 species